UUUGCUAACGCCUCCAAUUAAACGAUAAAUUAUUAAUUGGCGGCGUUAUAACACCACUAAUCCAUAAUAAUUAUUAAUCAGCGGCGUUUGAUGAUAUUUACGCCGCCAAACUCAUAAGGUAAAACCCUUGCCUUUCCUUUCCUUUCGUAUCCUUCAGUUGUCUUCUUCUUGCUUUUUUUGAGUGUCUGUAUCCUUCUCCCUUCUUCUUUCAUUCUUCUUCACCACCAAUUAUCUCCUCUUUAAUUGAUUUUGACUGAUCUCCACCGCCGUCGUCUCAAAACGGUACAGAUCGACUCAUCUCGACUGCGAAUCACAAAACUCUUCACACUCGUCUAUGAUCUACUGAAAUUAUGUGAAAAUCAGAGCAACUAUCUAAAAUCGUCGAUUCACGGGGUUGGUUCAAAUUUUCGGGUGACUGACACCAUUGUUUCAAGUUCUCCGGCCGUCGUGCUUAGUCUAGACAUUGCAACAUGUUCCUUGCACAAGCUUGGAGAAUAGCCCUCAAAAGAAUCCAAUUAUUGAUAGAACUAAGUUUAAGGCUGGUCAUGGAGCAGGACGCCCAACUCAAAAGAUGGUUGGUACCCUAUAAUGCGAGUUCGUGUUGAAAACAUCAGGAAGGCUUGAACAUAACAGCAACGAAAGAUUGGACAAACUUCAGACUGUAAGCUUCAGUGGAGUGUAGUGUGGCCCAGAAUGAUGAUCUUGAUGGUAAAUAGAGUUUUAAUCUCGCAAUGCUGCAGGGUACUUACUUAAUUACCUAAGGUGGAAUAUGCAUCAAGUCUGACAGACAAAUAGGGAGGGCAGCAGACAAAACUUGAUUAUUUUGUUAGGUUUGCACGUCACUAAGUGGAGAGCGUUUCACCAAUGAGCAAAUUGAUGAAAUACGAGACAAAUGGGAAUCAUACUUCACCGAACAUUGUGUGUAAAGAACCUUUCAUCGAUCUCUUUUUGUGG